ensembl:lncRNA
UUAGGGCUGAGGUUCACAGCAGAUUUACACCCGGAUUUGUCCAAAAUUUUCUAGAUUCAUUUUAAAACAUUAAAACCACAGCGUGGGUGGAUGAAAAGCAUGGAGCAGUUUCUUAUUCUUGCACUAUUGGCAGCAGGAACUCAUGCUCUGGUUCCAGUUGAUGAGACUACAUGUGACCUCAGGAUGAGCACAUGUCCAUGUUCUCCUUUUCUUGAAGGAACUGUGUAUAUCCAAGUGAUGACUGAUGCUAGUGGCCAUGAACUGCAGUGUUUGAAGGUGCUUCCCAAGGUGAACAUAACUGUGUUCAAUCUGAAGAAAGAAAAAAUAACAAUAGACAAUGAAUUUAACAACAGAAUGAAGUUUAAAAUCAAGAACGGGACACUCAAGAUCACAAAUGUAAGGAGGAAUGAUUCAGGUCAAUACAGCAUUGAGGUCUAUAAUUCAGAUGGAGUCGCACAGAAAAACAUUUAUUUCACCCUGAAUGUUAAAGACAACGGCAAAGUUGAAGGCAAGGGACUCUGGAAUUUCGAAGCAGACAAGUGUCUUUACCUGGUCAUAGCCUGUGGUGUACUGGCACUUCUCCUGAUAGCAGUGUCAUGCUGCUUUGCGUGUAGGGAAAUGAAGCAUCGUAAGAAGCCAGGUAACAUGCUGUCUCAUGAUCAACAAAGCUCAAUAAGCAACUGCAUCAUUCACUGA